rnacentral:lncRNA from 1 species
UUUUUUUUUGUUGUCAAACAUUUCUUCUCUUAAGGUCUAUGGAGGUUUAUGGGAAAGAAAAAGAAAAAAUUCCAGCAGACCGGAUCAAAAAGGAAAAUAACUGGCAUUGCAAUCAAUAAUAUUUCCACUUGUUAAACUAAGAAAAAUGUUUAUAAGACGUAUUGGUGGACAUAAUCAACUUUAAGAUUAUAGGUUACCAUACUUAAUCAGCUUAGACUUAGGGCGGACACAAAGCAAAUACUCACUAUUUUGCGUGUACUUAAUGCUUGACUUACCUUGCACUAGUAAUAUUUUUUUUAAUUUGAACUUGACUUGAUAAAAACGAGUAUUCACUAUUUUGCAUGUACUUGAUGCUCGACUUACUUUUCACGAGUAAUAAACUUUUUUAACCUACACUUGACUUGAUAAAAACGAGUAUUUGCUAUUUCGAGUAUUUGAUCAAAAAUAAAUUACUUGCAAGUUACUUGAUUUGUUCUGCUACUUGUUAUUUACGAGUACAAAUGGAUUAUUUCAGUACUUAAUAACUACUUACUAAAUAAUAUUCUAUCAGAAAUGGACAUAAACAGUUGGUUUGUUUGUUCUACUAAAAAUAACAUAUGAAUUACUUUAAACGGAAUAUUUGUGCAUAUUAUAAAGAAGACAAAUAAAGAAUAUAAGAAUAUUUCGAUAUAUAAGCAUUAUAUAAUUCUCAAAAUAACUUUUUUAAGAAAGUAACAACUAUUAAUAAGCCAUAUAGCUAAUUUUUUUAAUAUUUUUUACUAUUUAGUCCUUGACUAGCUGACGACGAGUAUUUAAAAUAUCAAGACGAAUACUAAACAAGUAAUAAUAUGAAUAUGGUAUUUGUGUCCAAUCUUGAAUGCAAGCAAAAGAAAAAAUAAAUAUUCUUAGAAAAUAACAAAUAUUUAAUAGAUUAUGUAAUAAAGAGCAAGUAACAUGAAAGUAACGAAUCAAGUAGUAAAAAUAAUAAUGAUACUUGAUAUUUGACUUGGUCUUGCAGGUAAUGAAAAUUUUCGACUUAUUAUUUGUCUUGACAAUGCGAAAUACUUGAAUUUUUAAGACAGGUACGAAUCAAGUAGCGAAUUUAAGGUGAAUACCGAGUAACGAUGUCCAACUCUAACUAGACUGAGUUAGUCGAUGAGCGCACGAACAGUACAUUAGUACCCAUUUAGCAAAUGUGAAUUAAUGGUGAGACAUGACUCGUUACAAUAGUAUUUUGACUACUCAGAACCCGUUUAGCAAAUCAUGGGUUGUUGUCCAAAUGUGAAUGGUUAUAUGGCUCGUUAUAGUAGCAUAGUAUUUUGAAAACUGGUUAUAAAAGUUUUAGCAACCAAUCUAGAAAAGGUUUUAUUUUAGCAAAUUUGUCCUCUUAUUACACUUCUCAAGUUAUUAUUACUUUUGAUUAGGUAUGGGCGUUCGGGCAUCCGUUGACGUUCCGUCGAAUAUAUCGGAUUUCGGUUCUAAUUUAUAUCACCCACUAGAUCCUAUUCUAGUAAAUUUAUAAGUAUAGAUUGGGUUCGGAUAAAACACAUCGGUUUCGGUUAUAAUUUGUAUCACAUCAUAAAACCCAUAAAAUAACCAUAUAUCAUUCGGAUUCGGGUUAUAUUGGAUCGGUUCGAAUAACCCGAGGUAAAAUCUAAAAUUUUAAAACAUGACAUAAAAAAAAUAUUUACUUAUGUUGAAUUGGGUAUUUAAAGUACUUAUUUAGAUUUUAAAUACUUAUUUUAGAUAUUAUAUCAAAAUAAAUAUGGAACUCACUAUAUGAAAUACAUGUUAGCAUACUAAUUUGGACAUUAAAAUCGGUUUCUUCAAAUAUUAUUUAUCGUUUUUAAAAAUUUUGAGAUUUUCAGGUUAUCUGUUCGGGUUUGGUUAAUAGCACUUCGGGUUCAAAUAUGUUUUCUAAUAUUCUAUACGAUCCAUUCAGGUAUUUUUUUACAUUUCGAACCAGAUAUGAAUCGGAUUGUUUGGUUCGGUUUAGUUCGAAUUUUAGGAUUUUAUGUUCAUGCCUACUUUUGAUUAUAACCAUAUAGUUGGUGGUAAACGGUAGAUCGGAAAUCUUCAAGACGAAGUUUAACCAAUCCAAGGGCAGCAUGAGCCAGACGUGUCCUUUGCAUGGACUAUUAGGUUCUUUUCCUUUUUUUGUAAAAGUGGAUUAUUAGGUUCUUUCUUUUCACCUUUCUAUAUACUAUUUUCUAGUGUAAACUACUACCAGAUACUUUUUCAUUAGUAACUUAUUUCAAAUACUUUUUUUUGUAACUGAAAAUACUAUUUCAAAUACUUGUUUCAAAUACUUGGAGAAGAAGCAUUCACUUACCGGUCCGCACAUCAUAAAGAUAGAACGAGGAGGAAAAGACGGCCUCUUCGCAAUUAAAGGUUCCACGCAUUAAGCAUUAAAGACUUAGGUGUUUACAUGAGCAAGGAGCCAAGGACUCGAGGAGUAUUAACAUAGCAAUUAAAACAACAAGUACAAACCGAAUAUUCGGAACAGGCAACGGUUAGAAACACACAUAUAGCUACUAUCGAUGCCCAAUCCAUGUUUCGUAAGAUAAUAGAAAAAAAUCGAACAAAUGUUCAGUAAAAAAUAAUAAUAUAUCGAACGAAUGCAAAUAGACAUAGAUAUAGACAUUUUGUCCGUGUACCAAUUUGGAUAUAUAUAGCUUGGUUGGUUUUGUAAACUACCUAUUUUUAUUGCAGUUUAGUUGUUGGAAAAAGAUAGUCUUGUAGUUAAAAUAACAAGUCCGAAAGUGUGUGAUGAUUUAUAUUUUCAAGUUAUACCUAAUCAAGUAAAUACCUUACUAGAAGAGUUCGCUUGCGUGUUUUAAAACUUAUAGUCUAUCUUUAAUCCAUCACUUUGUUUUUGUAUUUUUUGGUCAAUAAUACAGUGUCUCAGAACCGAAUGUUUUUCAACUCGUCUGCUCUCCACUUGAUCUAGCUUAAAUGGAUAGACGACAAAAAAAAAAAAAAAAAAAAAAACAGAAAGUUUUNNNNNNNNNNNNNNNNNNNNNNNNNNNNNNNNNNNGACAAAAAAAAAAAAAAAAAAAAAAGAACCGAAUGUUUUUAAUGUUUUGGACUAAACUAAUGCAAUUAAAACUCCUCGUUUUUUCUAGUUGUUCACCUAAAGGAAUCUUGAUGUUUUUUCUUUUGUAAAAUAGUCUCUUUAAUUUAUAUAAACAGAGAACACAUUUUGUAAAGAAGUAAAAGUAGUGACCAGCAAAGCACAUGACAAAGAGAAAUCCUUUUCACUAGAGAUGAUAAGAACAUGCAUGUCCUACAUAAAUACAUAUAUAUGUGGUAAUUAUGAUUGUAGACAUUUAAGGUAAAUUGUGAAAACAAGAAUCACAAAGAUAACAAAACAUUUGAUCGUGACUGUUUUUUAGGAUCAAUAUUUUUUUUAUAAUUGUGUGAUCCCGAAAACUUCGUAUAUCAAAAAAAAUUACAAGACUUUGCAUCUAAGUACACAAAUGCAUCUAAACGACACGAUUAAGUGGCCAAUGAAAAUCGAACUAUUUGUAGAAAUUUCAGUUGAAACUCGUCUAUCACUAAAUUAAGACAACUUGGCUAAAAACUGGACCAGUUACUAAAUCCAAAUUUGUUGGAUGGUUGGUCGAUAUGGUUCGACCGGAGUCAAUCAGUUUGACAAGAUUCUGUUGAGUUUAAUUAUAGAAUAAAACAAAAUUAAUCUAGAUAUUUAUUAAUUAUAUUGAUAAAUGUUAUAAAUAAAAUUAAAAUAUUUAUUAAUUUUCAAUUGAAAUUAUUAUGAAAUAAAAUUUAAAUACAAAAUAAAUAAAAAUAAAUUAUACAAUUAAUAUUUUGACUUUAAACAUAAAAUCAAUUUUUUGACUAAAUAUUUAUCACCAUGAAUUAUGAUUUUAAAAAUGAAUAUAUAAUAAAAAAAAUUAUUUGUAUGAUUUAAAUGACAAAAAAUAAUUGAUAAAAUUAAUUUUUGCUAACAAAUUAUAAAAAUCCCAACUUUUAUCCAUCCAAUCUAGAUAUGUUUAAGAUUCACGGUUUAGUCCAAUCAUACAAUUUGUAAUCUUGCGACCUUGUUUGUUGGUAAAGAAGUAAUAAUGAAACUUAUAGAAAUUUCUUCUAUCAUUAAUCCUUUGCACACAAUAUAGUUGUAAAGCACAACAGUAUUUAGUUUUAUAAUUGCUACAGUUUAAUCAGUUCAACAAAGCAAAACAAAAAUGAAUUAUAAUAGGAAACUAAACAAUGUAUAAAGUAAAACAUCUAAUUUACCUAAAUUAAAACUAGGACACUACAAUGUAAAUACGUCAAUUACCACCAAAUAUCGAAGAACCAAUAUAAAUUCGAGUUCACAAACAAAUUACACAUUGAUAAAUAUUGGGCCCUAAAUACAUUUUUAUUUAGCAAAGAAAAAACAAGUCAAGGUCCAGCCAUACGGCUUUUUGCAUGCAGAACACAGAGGAAUCCAAUGACUUCUGCUUCAUCUACACAACAAGUUUUAUUUUUCUAUCUAAUUCGUGUGUCAUAAUUUAAUCAGAUAAACCUGCAAUUAUACAAAUACACACAAAAUAAUAAUCUGCAGAAAUAAUAAUAACGAGGACUAUAUCAGUUCAACUAAUAUUUUAUUACGGAGAGAAUACGACCGUCGUUGAAAGAUUACGCGAAACCGUCGUCUCCACACGUGUGAGAUUCAAAACAGAGAGGUAUGUCUUGCGUGAUUUUACGUGGACCCCGUCCUUUACUGUAUUAAUAUUAUUUGGAGAUUUCAGUAAGAAAAAAAGAAAAAAGUGAAAACUGUAGAAAAAGCAAAGAGAGAAGAAGACAACAAACAAGUGAGCACAAAAGCUUCCUCUUUUUCUCUCUCACUCCUCUUCAAUGUCUCUCUCUCUCUCUAGAAGAAGUUGCCCUUUCCUGGUGGUGCCUAUCCUCUGCCUUUACUAGUCGUCUCUCUCUAGUCUUUUGCUUAUUCAAGAUGGAGAUUUCAUCGCCUGCGUAAAAUCGUUUAUAGUUAACUCUUCUUCUCAUCCCAGAGAUCUUUCUCCGAAGAUCUAAGGUAUGUGUAUAGUUAGAUUUCAAUUUUUUUACUACAUUUUUUUUUCCAUGGAUUUAGUUUCAGCAUUCUAGAUCUUUGUUUAGUGGUUGUUGAUUUAUUUUCUAUUUUUCUGCACUUUGUCGUUUAGUGUUUUAAGUAUCUCGAGGACAGGAAAAAAAAAUUGAAAGAAGAGAUUUGUGAGUUUCAAAGUUUUUUUUAUUUUUUGAAGUAAAAAUUCAUCAGACAGCGUAACUCCUGUUCUGUGUAAUGGUUUAUGGUUUGUAGUUUCCGAUGUUUAAAUAACAAAAGUUGUGUUCUUUCGAUGAAUAAAGAGAUUCACGAUUUUGUGCCGUUAGAUUCUGUCUCGGAGAUGCUAACGAGGUUGUUUAUGAUCUAGAAAAUGCGAUGCUUUAUUCGAGAUUCUUUUUUUUAUUCACUUUAUAUUUAUUUUUCUGCAUUUAUCUCCCACUUUACUCUUUCUCUUAGCUUUUUUUUUUUAACUCUUCUUCAAAUGGUGUUGUUUUUGUCUCAGAUCUAUUGCUUUUGAAGUGGAGUAGUAGUAGCUGAAACACUUAAUCUCUGUAAGUGUAGUGAUCUUUGUUACCUAGUGAAUGUGAACGUUAUAAUAAAAAGUCUUUGCAUUUUGUGUAGUGUGUUCUUGAGCAAGCAUGAUGCAGAGACCACCUCCUGAAGAUUUCUCCUUAAAGGAGACGAGACCACAUCUCGGCGGUGGGAAAGUCACUGGGGACAAGCUCACCAGCACUUAUGACCUCGUUGAGCAGAUGCAGUAUCUUUACGUCCGUGUGGUCAAAGCCAAGGAGUUACCCGGUAAAGACUUAACCGGUAGCUGUGACCCUUACGUGGAGGUUAAGCUAGGAAACUACAAAGGAACCACGCGGCACUUCGAGAAGAAGUCAAACCCUGAGUGGAACCAAGUCUUCGCUUUCUCCAAAGACAGGAUCCAAGCUUCUUUCCUUGAAGCUACUGUUAAAGACAAGGACGUUGUGAAAGACGAUUUGAUUGGUCGGGUUGUGUUUGACUUGAACGAGGUGCCUAAGAGAGUUCCUCCCGACAGUCCCUUGGCGCCUCAGUGGUACAGGCUUGAAGACAGGAAAGGAGAGAAAGUCAAGGGAGAGCUGAUGCUUGCUGUUUGGUUCGGUACACAAGCUGAUGAAGCUUUCCCUGAAGCUUGGCAUUCAGACGCUGCGACAGUUAGUGGAACUGACGCUCUUGCCAACAUCCGCUCCAAGGUUUACCUCUCUCCCAAGCUUUGGUACCUAAGGGUUAACGUAAUCGAAGCUCAAGAUCUGAUACCGAGUGACAAAGGGAGAUACCCUGAGGUUUACGUCAAAGCUAUAGUGGGGAACCAAGCGCAGAGGACGAGAGUGUCACAAAGCAGGACUAUUAACCCAAUGUGGAAUGAAGACUUGAUGUUUGUAGCAGCUGAGCCCUUCGAGGAGCCUUUGAUUUUAAGCGUUGAAGACAGAGUUGCUCCGAACAAAGACGAAGUCUUGGGGAGAUGCGCGAUCCCGUUGCAGUAUCUGGACAGGAGGUUUGACCACAGGCCUGUGAACACCAAGUGGUAUAACCUCGAGAAGCAUAUCAUGGUCGAUGGGGAGAAGAAGGAGAUCAAGUUCGCUAGCAAGAUUCACAUGAGGAUAUGUUUGGAAGGAGGGUACCACGUUCUUGAUGAGUCUACGCAUUACAGCAGUGAUCUUAGACCGACGGCUAAGCAGCUCUGGAAGCCUAACAUCGGCGUGUUGGAGCUGGGGAUACUUAACGCGACUGGUCUGAUGCCUAUGAAGGCUAAAGACGGUCGUGGGACUACGGAUGCGUACUGUGUGGCGAAGUAUGGACAGAAGUGGAUUCGAACAAGGACUAUCAUUGACAGCUUUACGCCGAGGUGGAACGAGCAAUACACUUGGGAAGUUUUUGAUCCGUGCACAGUUGUUACCGUUGGGGUCUUUGAUAACUGCCAUCUCCAUGGAGGUGAGAAGAACGGUGGAGGAAAGGAUUCAAGAGUUGGUAAGGUGAGAAUCCGGCUCUCUACUCUGGAAACUGAUCGUGUCUACACGCACUCAUACCCUCUCUUGGUGCUUCAUCCUAACGGAGUCAAGAAGAUGGGAGAGAUCCACUUAGCUGUGAGGUUCACUUGCUCUUCAUUACUCAACAUGAUGCAUAUGUACUCACUCCCUCUCUUACCUAAGAUGCAUUACAUCCAUCCAUUGACGGUUAGCCAGCUUGAUAACCUGAGGCACCAAGCGACUCAGAUUGUGUCAAUGAGGCUUACAAGAGCAGAGCCGCCUCUAAGGAAAGAAGUGGUUGAGUACAUGCUUGAUGUUGGCUCUCACAUGUGGAGCAUGAGGAGAAGCAAAGCGAACUUCUUCAGGAUCAUGGGGGUGUUGAGCGGGUUGAUAGCAGUGGGGAAGUGGUUUGAACAGAUCUGCAACUGGAAGAAUCCAAUCACAACGGUGUUGAUCCAUCUCCUGUUCAUCAUCCUUGUCCUCUACCCUGAGCUCAUCUUGCCGACCAUCUUCCUCUACCUCUUCCUUAUCGGUGUUUGGUACUACCGUUGGAGACCGAGGCACCCUCCGCACAUGGACACGCGCCUCUCACACGCUGACUCAGCUCACCCUGACGAGCUGGACGAAGAGUUUGAUACUUUCCCUAUUUCGAGACCAUCUGAUAUUGUCAGGAUGAGGUAUGACAGGUUGAGGAGUAUCGCAUUUCCCUACUUCGAGACCCUCUGAUAUUGUCAGGAUGAGGUAUGAUAGGCUGAGGAGUAUCGCUGGGAGGAUUCAGACGGUGGUUGGUGAUCUUGCAACUCAAGGAGAAAGGCUUCAGUCUCUGCUGAGCUGGCGUGAUCCGCGUGCAACUGCGCUGUUUGUUCUGUUCUGUUUGAUUGCUGCAGUUGUUCUCUAUGUGACUCCGUUUCAGGUUGUGGCUCUUUUGGUUGGGAUCUAUGUUCUGAGACAUCCUAGGUUUAGGUACAGGCUACCGUCAGUUCCUCUCAAUUUCUUCAGGAGGCUUCCUGCAAGAACUGAUUGCAUGCUCUGAUGAGCUCAAAGAAAAAAACUGCUACCUCUCUCUCUCUCCCUCGGAUCUUCCUUCUCAUCUUGAAGAAACUUCCUCUAGAAUUGUUAAUUUGUUUUUUGUUGAAGUGUCAUGUCAUGAAUGUUUAUCUUGGUGGUUAUUAUCAUGUUUCAUUUCGUUUAUAACAUUAUCAAGACUUUUGUUUGAUUGUAGUAAAUCAGUAUCUGUGUGAUUUUGAUGUUCUUUGUUUUGGUUAGUUAAUUAGUUAGUUAGACUAUGCCUCUCUGGUUUUUAUUUACUCACACUUGUCUUAGAAAUUGGCAAGAGUAAUUACAAGUGAAACUUAAACCCUUAAGCAGGUUGACAAAGAAAAAACCCUUAAGCAGAAUAAGUUAUGUUAAUACAUUAAAACACUGGUUUAGUUGAGAACAAUAUACAUCAAAUAGAAUAGUGAGAUGGUGAAUACAUGGUAAUCUAGCUAUGUAUAACAAAACAAAUUGGAAACAACCACAACCAAUAGUGAUAUAGUAUGUUAUGGGUCACUGUCCAACAAGUUUGGUAUGUUGCUGCAGCAAUUGGUACAUAUUUCUUUUUACCUAGAAUCAUUUUAUACAAAAAAGUUUGUUUUGAACGUUUUAGUUAAGAAAAGUAGCUUAAAUUAUUUUUCUAACUACUCUUUCACAUCUUGACCAAAAAACUACUCUUUCACAUCACAAAUCAGUAUUGAUCGUAUACCAUUUAUUUUGCUUUUUAACCAACCAAAUUGUUUUGAGAUGCUUAUUCUGCACCUACCGCCAGGAGAUUAAGAACGCAAGAAACUUUUUAGAUUAAGAACACAAAGUGAUUACAAGAACUUUCAAGUAGAACAAACUUAUGUAAUACUGUUCAUAAAAAAACAGUUGUAAGUGUUAUUGGAUUCAACAUGCACCAGCUAGACCAGUGAGAAGGAAAAUAUAUAUUACUAUUCUAGCUAUGUAUACUAACAAAUGAUAAAAAUAACCACAUCGAAUAGCAAAAAGAUAUGUUAUGGGGGUCACUAUACAAGUACAAGUGUACAACAAGUUUGGUAUGUUACUGCAGCAAAUUGGUACAUGACAUAAGAUAAGCUAGAAUCAUUUUAAUACAAAACGGUUUGAUGAUGGUUCAGAAAAUUAGCUUAAAUUAUAUUUCUACCUAACUAUUUCAUUUCACAAAUCAGUUUUGAUCAUAUACCAUUUAUAACCAACCAAAUUGAUUUUGAGAUGCUGCACCCACCACCACGAAUCAAUACUAGGGAGAAUAAUUGAAGGGAGGUGAAGAAGUAAAUGGGCCCUAAGUUGCUUUUAUGGGCCACGUGAAAAAUGGGAUAGGUUAAUAGGUUAUGGUAGGGAGAGAAUCUUUUGGUAGCUUUAUUGGGUUAUCCUCGCGUAGGUUUCACGCUAUCCAUUGACUUCUUCUUUAAGCUUUUUUUUCUUUUUUUCUUUUAUUUAUUAUUUAAAAGAAUAAUUGACCGGUCAAUUAAAUUAAAGGAGCAUAGGAAGUAGGACGAAAGGACAUUAACUCGCCGCGAAAUCUGGACCGUACGAUUCUCCGACUACCUAAGGGGCAAAUCCGUAACUUCGCUUCUUCGUCUUCUUCGAUUUAUAUAGAGCGAUAGAGAGCGAGAUUGAUUGGCGAGCUUCAGAGAGAGAGAAGCAGUGAUUGUAAAGAGAGUUGUUGAGAGAGAAGCAGAGAGAGAGAGAUGGCUAGUGGAAUCGCUCGUGGUCGUUUGGCGGAGGAGAGGAAAUCGUGGAGGAAGAAUCAUCCUCACGUUCGUGUUUUUCUUCUCCAAUUUCAAAUUUUGAUCCUUGGGCAUGUGUUUAUGGUUAUCUGAUUGAACUUUUUGAUUGUGAAAUUAGGGUUUUGUGGCGAAGCCUGAGACUGGGCCCGAUGGGUCUGUGAAUCUAAUGGUGUGGCAUUGCACUAUCCCUGGUAAAGCCGGUGUAAGUGUAUAAACAGCUCAUAUGUGUGUGUCAGCUUCUAAUUACUAGUAGAGAAGCAAAUGGUGAAGUUAGGGUAGUUAAUAUCUCUGGUUUUGUUCUGUUAAGUCUGUUGCUGUUCGUGUUUUGAUGCUUUACGUGUAAAGUUCUUCCCUUUCUUCUUUGUAUUUGCUGUUUGUUUCUCCUAUUCCUUUGUUUGAACAUGGAACAAUUGAAAGAUUGUUUUUUUUUUGUAUAUGGUUAGGAGAAAAGAGUUAUUUUUUCGUUGCUUUUGAUCUUCUGAACUGGUGUUAUAAAAAUGUGUUCUUGAAGAUGUCUUAGCUGUUGGACCUAGUUCAGCGCUAAUCGUUCUUUUAGUAUUAUGUAUAGUUAAGUUCUUCCCUUUUUCUCUGUGAUUCAUGUUUGUUUCUCUUAUAUGGUUUAUUCUUUUGCUUAAACAUAUAAGAAUGGACGUUUAUGUUUUUUUGUAAAUGCUUAUCAGGAGAAAAAAUGUUUUUUUUUUCUUUGCAAUUGAUGUUCUAAACUGGUGUAUAAAAAUGUGUUCUUGAAGGUGUCAUAGAAUUUUAACUCUGAUGUGUAUCUUGCUUAGCUUUUCGACCUGGUUUAUCGUUAAUCAUUUUUUUUGGUAUUGUACAUAGCUAAGUUAACAAUACACUGCAGACUGAUUAUGAAGGUGAAUUCUUUGUGAAUGUUAGUAGCUGCUCUAACUUCACUGUUUAUCUUCACUCUGGAUUUCGUGCUUAUAAAUUUUGGUUUAGAAAAUGACAUAAUCUUCGAAUUUGUAUUAAUAAUAAGAUGGAAGUUAAAAAAAAAAAAGAAAAUGACAUAAUCUGAACCUUGCGUUAUUGAUUUUGAACUAUAUUUUGCUCAUAUAGAGAAUUUACUUGACACUGCAGACUGAUUGGGAAGGUGGAUUCUUUCCAUUAACGAUGCACUUCAGCGAGGACUAUCCGAGCAAGCCUCCCAAAUGCAAAUUCCCACCAGGCUUUUUCCACCCUAAUGUCUAUCCAUCUGGAACCGUCUGUCUCUCAAUCCUUAACGAAGAUUCGGUAAGUACUCUUUUUUCUUUACAUUUCUCCGUGACCAAAUCAUCAUCCUCAAGUGCUCUGUUGAUAUGGUUAUGUUGAUAGGGGUGGAGACCAGCCAUCACUGUGAAGCAGAUUCUCGUCGGUAUUCAGGAUUUACUUGACACGCCUAAUCCAGCUGACCCUGCACAGACUGAUGGUUAUCAUCUCUUCAUUCAGGUACAGUCUCUCAUGAAACAUAGGAACCAAGAGAUUGCGAACUUUAUUCUGAUGGGAUUCAGUUUUGAUGAAAAAAUAUGCAGGAUGCAGUUGAGUACAAGAAGAGGGUUAAGCUGCAGUCCAAGCAGUAUCCUCCCAUUGUCUAGAAACCUUCGAAGGGAACACCAAAUCUGAUGACAAACCUCUGAAUCUUUUGUGGUCUUUGUGAUUGUGUUUAAAUGUUGUUGGGUGAAUGAAAACUCCUCAUUUUGCCACCUUUGAGACACUACUAGAAUCUCUAUUAUUUUCGGAAAAAAACAAUCAUCUUUUUUUGCUCUCUGUUAACUGUUAAUAUUCUUGGUACUGAUUCAGUUGGUGUUUGCUUCAGUAUAUUAUACAUUAAUUAUGUUCUCUGGUCCAUUUCUAACCAAGCUCAACCUGAUGUCUUAUUUUUCUCAAGACUAGCGAAUCUUUUAAUUUGGGAAAUGAAAACUACUUCUCACACUUGCAUAGUUGUCUGACGUAAAUUACGUGCUUGCUAGUGUUCUUAAAUCUUAACUGUGCUUACUAGUGUUUUUAAUUGUUCUCUGAAACUCUUAGAUAAUUAGCAAAAAACAUGGUUCAUAUCGAAAAUCAAUAUAUGGAAAUACAGGAGGCGAAAUAAUAUCAAAAGACUAAUACCAAUAUGCAAGUUAAAUUUUUGAUAAGCCGUGCACUGGAAAAUGGCUUUAUCAAAAAUUCAACUUGCAAGCACAGUUAUGAACCAUGGCUUUAUGCAACCACAUGGCUUUAUCAAAAAUUCAACUUGAAAUAACGAAAACUAAAGGCACUGGAAAUAUUUGUUUGUUGUUGUUAUUAUUAAUUCUUCUGAAAAUUUUAUAUAAUUAUUCUAUUAUCAAUAAAAACAUGCUAUGCAAACAACAGUUUGUGGGUUUAUAUGCCUACACAAGUAUGUUCAUUUUUUAAAGAAACUAUGUCAAACAAAAAAAUAAUUAUUCAAAAAUGAUUUUCAAUCUCAUUAAACUGAUAACAAAUUUAAAAUUCUAAUUCUUUAUUCAAAAGUUUAGUCAUUUUAGGUCAUCCAAAUAGGCCUGACCAACAACAAUUUUGUAUCACACUGAACAAAUUCUCUUAAGAGAGCCCACAAGCAUUGAGAAUUUUAUAUUAUAACGAUUUGACAAUGUACAAGCCCACAGCCCACAAGCUGAACACAAUUACAAAGAUGGUGUAUACAAAGUCCGCAGAAUCUAAAGCCCACACAUGGGAAGCAAGUUAAAACAACAAGAACAAACAACACAACAACGAUUCAAUGCUAGAAAGCUAAGCCUAAGCAUAAAGGAUCAAACCAACUAAAAGCUUAACUAGAACCACAAAAGACAUGAUGCACAGUUGAAACCGAACUUCUCAAUUCACCCUCGCUGCAUCAUGUCAUUGCGCUGUCGAAGCCGUUAGUUCCCUUCGAAGCAACCAAAACCCUCUUUACCGGAACGGCCAUAGAUGUUACUGAGCCACUCAUACGCAAAGCGGAGAUAUAUGUUCUGAAACGGAAGCUCUUUUAAAAAACCUCAAACAGUUGUGAAAUAUUCUCUCCAUAUAUGUUACUCUAUAUUCAUUUUUUAGUUAUUAACUAAAUUAUAUUAAAUUAUUAAUAAUAUACCUAUUAGAUACUUUGAGAAGAUAUUACAUAAUACUGAUACUCUUACAAACCAAGAAUCUAAUACUUGUUUUUUUGACAAAAAUGUAAAUAUCGUUAGCAAUAAUGCAAUGAAAGCUGCUCUGUCACAAUAAUACUCCUUUCCUGGUGCAGAUCUUCAUCACAAGCAGCUCCUUCAACACUCAGGAAGCUGCUCUGUCACGGGACCAUUUAUCACAUAUGGAGACAUCGUAACAACGUCCUUCAUAACAGUGUGCAUCUCUCCCCGCAGCAGGUGUUCAAGCUCAUAGACCGAGAUAUCAAGAAUGCCAUCACUGCGAGACAGCAAAAGAGGAACUUCUUAGGACUAAUGACCCUUUGGAUUAGAUGACCACCAUCUCUAGUCAAAAAUCUACUGGCUUUCUUGUUUUUUAUCUAAUUUUUGCCAAGAAAUAAGUGUGUAAAAGUCUUAACUUGUUUAGAACAAACAUUUCAUUAAGAUUAAUGAUAUUUACAGUUUAGCAAAAAAAAAAAAAAUAAUAAUAAUGCAAUGAAAGUUUGAUUACAAGAGAUCUUGCAAUCAGCAUAUAUAUAUAUAUAUAUAUGUACUAUUAUGUUUCGAGAAAACUGCAUUUUAUAAGUACUUUAAACUUUUAUGAUCAGUCUUUGUCUAUUCUGCACAUUGAUAAAGACUUUAGCAUAUUUCAGAUUCGGUUUGACCUCUAGAAUUCAAAUAAAAACAGAAAAAGUGUCGUGUAUAUAUAUAUAUAUUCGACCAUAAUGUAAAUAUAUGAAUGCGUAUAACAUUAUGUAUUGUACGUAUCACGUAUGUCAUGGUUGGUAAAAGAAUUGGCUACGAAGUCUACACAUCGAUCUCUCAACUCUAAAGAAGCAGUGGACGUUGUGAGAGUAAGUAACGUUGCCAAAUUGGAAAUACCAAAUUGGAAAUGCCAAAUUGAUUGAGACUUUACUACUGCUACACCGACCUUAUGCACCAAGAAGUGAUGAAAGCGAUUUAAAAUUUUAAACCAUUUUCCAAUCUUCUAAUAUUUGUGUUCUUAACUUUUUAUUUGUUAUCAGCUUGAAUGUUUGAAUCGUUGUUUAUUUCAUGUGCUGCAAAUUUAACUAUCAAUCUGAGAAUUUUUCUUAACACUUAAACUAAGUUUCGUAAUCUUUUAAAUUUAAGAAUGUUCAAAUCAAAAUACAUAAAACUUUGCCAUUAAAAAAAAAGAAAUUCAAAAAGCUUUCAUUCUUCUUUGAAACUAGAUUUCAUUCGGAUAUUAGAAAUUUUCAUGUGGGUUUUAAAUUGGAUCUUUCCAAGUCAAGAUGAGUUCAGCUUUGAUAUAUAUAAACCUACGAAUAUCUAAAAACUAAUAUAUUUGAGGCCGGUUUGGAUAUUUGUAAUAAAAAUAACAAUAUUAACCGAUUCAGUACGGGUAUUUUGAGUUCAAACUAAAAAUAACCAAAGUAAUUAUAUUACUAUAUUUGAUUCGUGUUCUAUUUUGAUAUAUAAAAACCUAAAAAAUAUUUAAAAACUUUUACAAUUAAUUAUAUUAUGAUACAUAUAAAAUAUAUAACACAAUUUUUUAAAUCAAUUUAUAUAAAACGAAAAAAUUAGUACCCGCAUAGGCAUAGGCAUGGUCCCUAGUAAGGUAUUAAAACUUGUAAUCAUGGUGAAGCCCAAAAAGGCCAACUAAUUAUCAUCCAUCAGGAUCCAACAAAAGAAAGUUUUUUUCUUGGGUUAAAAACCGUACCAUACGGUACCGGUACGAUAACCAAAACUGGUUUACACCUCUCUCUCUAUCUCUAUCGAACAGUGUCUUCUUCUCCACUAGCUAACGUUGCUUUCGUCCCUACUCAAGUUAGCUACGGAGUUUUUUUUUCUUUUAUCUCUCAGACAAGACAGAGAGAGAGAGAGAGAAACAGAGUCUCUCUUACAAAACAACAAUACCUUCUUCUGGAAAGCUCUGUAAGAAAGAAAGAAAGAGUGAACUUCAAUUCAAACUCUCUGACCGCCAUUGACGCACCUUCCUCGCCGGCGAUAUUAUGCUCGCUUGCUGACAAAGUUUAAACCUUUAUCUACUCAAGCCCCCUCUGACCGGUGGCGGUGUUGUUGUUCGUGAGCUUCCGUCUAUGGAUCUGACCGGAGAAUUUAGAGCUAGAUCCGACGGCGGUGAACGGUGCCGGGAAGCUACAGGGCUUGAAUCGCUUCAUCUCGGAGAUGAAUCACGGCCGCUACCUCCGGAUAACGUCGGUGGGUUCACGGCGUUGCUUGAGCUUCCACCUACACAAGCCGUAAACCUUCUCCGUUUCACUGAUUCGCCGUCUUCUUCUUCUCAAGCGGCGGCCGUCACCGGAAUCGCUCCAACACCGCCGCUUCACUCGUACGGGACUCUGACUUUUCCUUCUAACUCACUCCUCAUGGAGCGAGCAGCUCGUUUCUCCACUGAGCAUCAGCAAAACGGUAACGUUUCCGGUACGAGCUCGGUACCUUCCAACUCCAGCGUCAAAACCGAGCCUGCUGAGACCGAUUCAUCUCAAGCCGUGGAGAAGCAGAACAAUCGAUCUGGCAAGAGGAAAGAUUCCGACAAGAAGGUGAGAGAGUCAGACACACUUUUGGUUUCUUUUACAUUUGUUUCCAGAACAGUGAGUGAUUCAUGUCCAAUAACAUGUCUAGGCUAAAAGCUCGACGAAGAAGAAGAAGAAGAACAAAAGCUCUGAAGAGAACGAGAAGCUGCCGUAUGUUCAUGUUAGAGCUCGCCGUGGUCAAGCAACAGAUAGUCAUAGCUUAGCAGAGCGAGUAACUUUGCAUCUUUCACAAAGUUUUGAUCUUAAUCAGCUGAUUAAUCGCUAAUUCAUCACUAAACAUUUGUAUUAUAGGCAAGAAGAGAGAAGAUUAAUGCGCGAAUGAAGUUGUUACAAGAACUUGUCCCAGGCUGUGAUAAGGUUUGUCUCUCAGAUAUUAACGUGUAAUCAACAUACAUGCUAAUUCAUCAUUUGGUUCUUAACGACAUAAUAUUUCCUUAAUAAAUUCACCUUAAAAAGUUAGAAUAUACUAUUAUAUAGUUUUUAUGAAGAAAAGUGGUUUUCUAGUGUGCCAAAAGAUCUCAACUUUAUUAUUUAAGGUUAAAACUAGUCAUAGGGAGUUGAUUGGAGAUGGCUUUUAUCGAAUUCUUUUUUCCUCUUCUCAUAAAGUGUGUUCAUUGAGCUUGAUGUAUUAGUCUAUGAUAAUGAAGAGAAUGACCUUUAGAAAUAGGGAUGCUAGCUGUAAUGUGCCAUUAAGGUUUUGGGUUUAGGGGACAGGUUUUGGUGGAUCAAAGUGUGUUUUGGGGUCCAUCUUUUGUUGAUAAUUGGGAAAAGAAAGUUGCAAUGGAAGGUGAGGAAGGGGUAGUAUCGUCUCUAACACGUUAGGUUUCUAAGACAAUGACUCUUCGGAGAUCCUUUACAAAAAAUGAUAUUGCCUUGAGUCCCCACACAUACCUAAUUAGUUGGAAACAUGGAUGUGACACUCCCCUUAGACAACUAAUUUAAUCAACUGGUGUUAGAAGUUAGCAGCAAUUAUUGGUGAGAUGGAUUGAGAUGAUGUUAUGCAAACAUCAGUGUUUGUUAGUUUUGUUUUGUAUUUAUUGGUGAGCUGUGAGGACGUUGAUUGAUUGUUCCAUGAACCACCACUAGAGUUACUUUUGAAACUUGGUAAAGUUUUAACUUAGAUUAUAGGGUCAUCCUCUUGCAUGUUUUUUGGAGUAUUCUUCUCCUUGAAAUAUUGUAUACUCUAAACAAAUAGGUAGCUGCUUAGGCAGGUGUUGGUUGUGUGAAAGCAAGUGUGAACCUAAUAUGAAUCCUAAGCUUACCAGAAAGUCUAUGACUUGCAGAUUCAAGGUACAGCUUUGGUGCUGGAUGAAAUCAUUAACCAUGUCCAGUCUUUACAACGUCAAGUAGAGGUGAGACUUUCCGUGGUCCAGUUUUGUUCUUUAUAUAUUGUACAAUAGCCUUUAAAGACACAGCCAAAAGGUCAACUCAAAACAGUUUGGAAAUGUGUGGCACAAUCUCAUCAAAUUGUAACUUGUAUUUUUCCACAGAUGCUAUCAAUGAGACUUGCCUCAGUAAACCCCAGAGUCGACUUUAAUCUAGACACUAUAUUGGCUUCAGAAGUAAGUAUCUUCUAAUCUCACACAAUACUACUUACAUCCUUCUUAUACAUAAGCAUUUGUUUCUCAUUUGAGUAAACCAUAGGAAACUCAGACCUUCUUAUGCAUAAGCAUUUGUUUCUCACACAAUACUUACAUCCUUCUUAUACCUCUUUUAGUAGCUUCUAGGUUAUUUAUUGAUACAAACAUUAAACUCAGACCAUUUUAGAGCAUGGCAUAGGAAGUUCAACGUCUAGUCUUAUGAAGAAAACUCAGGAAAAUAAAUACACAACACACACCCACGCACACUCUGCAAAAUUACAGCACACAAACACCUUAGUGGGCCAGAACUCGGACCACCAUUGUUCAGUAAACCUUUCUGUGUCGUCUGUGAUUCAUGUCAGAUGUGUAUAUUGAUGAGAUUUGAUAGAUUUUUAUUUUAUUUUAAUUAUCCCUCAGUAAUGUCUGUGGGUCUCUUCCAACGAUCUGUUUGUUUCAUAGUUUUUCUUUUUUCACCUAUAUAAUCUCAUAGUCACCUGUGGAUUCUAUCUAACGUUAAUAAAUGCUCUCUCUUUCUGCUUACAGCUUGUACAUUACAUACCAAUAAAUAGCUAGGGUCCCUCUCAUUAAGCCUUGUUCUUUUACCAUUAUAAUAACACAGCAACUAGAGUUGACUUCCUUGACUAGAUUAAGAUGUCUAUGAAUGAAUGAUCCUUGAGCUGAUAUCUUUUCCUGGUUUGGCUUCUUUUUUAGAACGGUUCCUUAAUGGAUGGGAGCUUCAACGGUACAGCAAUGCAAGUUGCUUGGCCUCAUCAAGUGACUGAGACCGAACAGUCCUAUCAUCACCGGCAACUGCAACAACCGCAACAAUGGCCUUUUGAUGGGUUGAACCAGCGGGCUUGGGGAAAAGAAGAGGAUCAAGAUCAUGGCCAAUGACCACAACAGUUUGAUGGUGGGUUCUGCUAAUUUGCACCCAGAUCAGGUCAAAAUGUAGUUUUAAGUUUGGGGAAAAACGAUAAUAGAUUAUGAAUGUGUAUGUAUAUAUAUCGUGUAAGCUUUGUAUACAAAUAGAUAUCUGUUAAGAAGGUAUCAAUCAUUUCAUUCAGAGAGACAAAACUGGUGGUAUAUGAUUAUUUCGUACUUUUACCAGAUUUUCCCAGUGUAGUAUUUACUUUUUCAUCUAAUUGCACAUGUGAUUGAAGUCUGAGACCCAAAAGAAAUAUGUAAAAAUUUGCAAUUUAAAGAUUUGAAGACAUUCAAUGAACUAGUGUUUGGUGGUUUAUGGUUCUUAUGCUUUCAUACUUUGGAAUUUGUAUAGAGACCUAGAAUGGCUUGGUGGACAUCUAAUAAAACUUGUCUCCACUGCAUAACCAAUAACUUGAACUAUUCUCUACGGAACGUUUUGAUUUAUAUAUAUUCAAGAAUACCUACGAGUCAUAAGAUCCGCUGUAGCACACUGGUUAAAACUUGUCUCGUUGACAGAUUUUCCGGGUUCGAAGCCCGGCAGCGGAAAAUUGUUUUUUUUUCCUAAAGUUAAAAAAAAAAAAAUUGACGUUCCAGUUUCUGAAUGUCAGUAGAUGUAUGCAUUGAAUAAGGUUGGAGAAGUUGCUUCUCUAGAGAUCUCGCUCUAUCUCAGAACAGACCUCUGUAUCAAAACAAUUUCGAACGCUAUACUUUGGGUCCUGUCUCCGAUCCUAUAAUAGAUUACAAAGUUUUGCCUAUCCCUAUUGGAGAUUAAGUUUUGGAUCCGGGAGACAGCUUUAAAACACGGUACAACAUCAAUAAACAUGUUUUAGAUCGUUAUGUAUAUUCACUUCACAUGAGAGGAUACUAAAGUUUAAUGAAUGUUACAAUCUCUCACUUGUAGAUCGGCAAAAGGGUACUCUUAAACUUCACACCUGAUGAGUUUUGUCCUGAUCAUGUCCCUUGGAAGUGUCCUAUAAAAGCUUAAUGCCGAGGUAACAAGAUUCAAAUCCUUUUUCUUUAACUCUGUGCUCUUCUUUGCACUCACUAUACCCUUUUGUUUCUUUGUUUCUCGUCAGAUUUUUUUUUUUCUCGUCCUCGUCAGAGUAUUUCGCAGCAGAAGUUAUGAUGAGUUAGCUUCCCUUAAUGCAGCACCUGUUUCAUACGUUCCACCAUCAUCAAUCAAUGUAGAAGAGAGAAUUGUAGAGGUAGGAGGAGACGUCUCUAGAAUACCGAGGAACUCAUGUGAUACAACUAAGAGGAUACACGAGCGAUGAGCAGCUUGACGAACUGGAAUCUCCUCGUACAUUUGUUAUCGGCAAGGUAUUGGUAUCACCAGGUUCGAGACACAAUGUGAAGCAGCAAAAUGAGCAAAUAGGUGAAGACUGCAGUGGUAGUGAAUGUAAGAUAUGAGCCAAACAUGUUGAUAUUCUUAGUGAAGACUGCACUGGUAGUGAAUGUAAGAUAUGAGCCAAACAUGUUGAGAUUCUUAGUGAAGCUCUUGUUACGACUAACAACACACCAAGUCUUUGUGUUUUUGGUGAUCAAUGUGACAAAGGAACUGACUGAGAUAAAAGUAAAACAGAUAGUAGCCCAGAACGUCAUCGUUUUAUCUUUGUUUAUAGAAAGAAGGCCAUUCUUAAGUCCCACAUCGGUAAGAUAAAGAGGCAGUGAUCAUAACUUGGACUAUAAAUAAGAAGCUGAGCCUUAAUGGCAAAUCAUACCUUUCUCGGCCUUUUGGCUAAGAUCAAGUGUAGUAUCUGUUCUUAUCAGUUUAAUAUCUGAUAUGUGGUCCAUCGGACCACACGAUAUUAAUUUUAUUUUUUAAGGGUGAAAAUCCAAUAAAAUAGCUUGCUAUCUGGGUUUUCGCGAGUUGUCCAUGCGUUGCACUAUUGCACGGAUCUGGCUCAACCCACCAAAUCAGUAGUUCAAUUUUAACCAUAUUUCGACCCAGUAUUAAAUGUUGUUUAAUCGUAGAUGGUCUUAAGUGUUGGUUAGUACGCGUUACAAAUCCCAUUAACACUAAACUUUGUAUGUUCCAAUUCUCUUUAACCAGUUUUUUUUUUUGCAGACGUAGCAAGUACGGAAUCUGGAAAGUAAUAGAUUAGGGUAUAAAAAGUAAAACAAGGUAUUGCAGGAAAAACAAAAUAAAGGAUAUAAUUUCACACAAACUUAACUGUAUAUGUCAAAAUUGUGAUUAUGAAUAUCAGAAUAAGGACUAGCGAAAUAGUUAGCCAAUGAUGGUAUGCAACGACAUCGGAUUCUCUAUCAGAUACUUCUCUUUCUGAAGUAAACCUGUGAACUUGCUCGUCUCUGAAGGAGUAAGUACGAUCUUAGCAUCGUCCAAUAAAUCAGAAAGCAGGAAGCAUAGUUCCGAGUACCUGCUAAAAAUGAUUCUAGUUGAAAUUAUUUAUCAGGAUUAGGUUACACUGCUGAAAUCUCAUGAAAAUUCUGUGUUGAUCAUUCAGACUCCAUGUGCAAAAGAGUCAGUCUCAAACUUGUUGACAAAUAAAACUUGACUUUCUGAAACUUCAAUGGCCUCAGAUUCAACACUGAUACGCUGUUUUACCUUCUAGAAGCCAACUUUGGCCCCCAUCAACAUUUCAAGACUGCAAGAGCAUUUUUUUUACUGAUCCCAAGAAGAUCAUGAAGUUCUUGAGAAAUAAGGGAAAAGAGUGGAUCCAACCGACAACCGUGAUUAUUGAAUAAUGGAGGCAUUUUUCUCAAAGAACUCACUGCCGGAUGCUAUGGCAACACUAACCCUGUCACAUGUUUUCUUCUGAUCAGAUCCUCAAGGCCACGAAAGACUUUUAAUACACCUGGUUCACAGGUUGCAUCGAAUAUAGAUCUUACAUGAUUAACGACAUCUGUCAUAUCUGAUAUGUUACCAAUCACUGUAAUUGCUUGAAACAUUUGGGGGGGGGGGGGGGGGGGNNNNNNNNNNNNNNNNNNNNNNNNNNNNNNNNNNNNNNNNNNNNNNNNNNNNNNNNGGGGUGGGGAGGAAGCGGUCAUAUCUGAUGCUGCGAAAUCAUCUUACCGAUAUACUAAUGCUUCCAAAAGACAUGUAAUGGUCUUAUCAAUCAGAGAGAAGUUUUUUUUAACUCUCUACUAGUAUUAAGUUCAAGAUUAAACUCUCUUUCAAACUGACGUUUAUCUUUGACUGAUUCAUAGGUAUGCCCAUCGAUUAGUCUUCAACUGAUCAAAGGAAUACUCUGCAACUUCACACCUGAUGGUUAUGUUCUGAUCAUUUCCCUUGAAGUGUCCUAGAAGAUCUUAACACCGAGGUAACAAGAUUCAAAUCCUUCUUUUUUACUCUCUGCUCUUCCGUGCGCUCUUAUACCCUUUUGUUUUUUUGUUUCUCAACAGAGUAACAAGAUUCAAAUCCUUCUUUUUGUUAGUGAAGCACUUGUUACUACUGAAACACACCAAGUCUUGUGCUUUUGGUGAUCAAUGCGACAAAGGAACCGGCAGAGAUAACUAAUUAGUGGCCCAGAACGUCCUCGUUUAAUCUUUGUUUAUAGAAAAGAACGAUACUUUUGAAGUCCCACAUCGGUAAGAAAUAGAGGCAGUGGUCAUAAAACUUGCGCUAUAUAAAGAACCCGAGUCUACCUCAACAAAUCAUACCUUUCUCGGCCUUUUGGCUAAGAUCAAGUGUAGUAUCUGUUCUUAUCAGUUUAAUAUCUGAUAUGUGGUCCAUCGGACCACACGAUAUUAACUCUAUUUUUUUUAGGGUGAAAGUCUAAUAAGAUAGCUUGCUAUCUGGGUUUUCGCGAGUCAUCCAUGCGUCGCACUAUAGCAUGGCCUGGCUCAACCCACCAAAUCUUUAGUUAAAUUUUGACAAUAUUCCGGCCCAGUAUUCAAUGUUGGUUAAUAUUAGAUUGGCAAACGUAGCAAGUAUGGGUAACUAACAGAUUAGUUUUUAAAAAGUAAAACAAGUCAUUGCAGGAAAAUCAAAAUAUAGGACAUAAUAUCAUACAAACUUAUUGUAUAUGUCAACUGUGAAUAUGAACAUCAGAAUAAGGGCUAAUGAAAUGGUUAGCCCAUGAUGGUAUGAAACAUCUGAUUCUCUAUCAUCCAUAAACAUAACCUUUCGUGAGAUUUUAUUUUUGUCAGCAACCUUCCGUGAGAUUUAUCAGGUACACACAUCUGUGAUUCUCUAUUUUUAUGAAGUAAACCUGUGAACUUGCUUGUCUCUUAAGGAAAAAGCCAGAACUCUGCUGUUUCAGUCAGAAUCCAAAAUGCGUAUUCCUGAAUUUGAAUUAUAGUUCAUCUGUGAUCCCAUAUGUAGAUUUCUCAGUCGCUCUGAGCUCUUUAGCCACCUGAAUCAUGCUAAUCAACGGGUCUCCUAACUUGCAUCCUAUGCAUCUCAACGCUAAUCUAAAAAACUCCUUUACCGGCGAAGCAGCCACAUUGCCCAUAUCUGAAUCCAUAACCUCUGCAUACCCAAACUUCCUCAGUAUCUUGGAAACAUGAUGGUGAAGCGGUAAAAGAGCAUCAUCAUGAGGUUUGAUGAAUAACUCAGCUAAUGCUCUCAACAUAUCCGAAGACAUAGAUAGCUCAUCAUCAACUUCCUUUACCUGCACAAGAGCUAGCAUGAACGCUCCAAAGCUAUGCAUAUCCGUCUUUGUCGUGACCUUGCCGGUUGUUUUGUACUCAGGAUCGAUGACCGGUACGUAACACACACCAAGUCCAUGCGUUUGCUUUAAGGUAUUGGUCCUAAAGUCAUGGUAUUUCUUCAAUGCAUCAUCAUGAACGAAGACCUCUCCUUCGGGGAUAGAGACGCAGUUACAGAAAUUCCCAAGCUUUGCGAUUCCAUUUCCAUCUAAGAAGAUGGUGAAAUGGUCUAGAUUUGAGUGGAUGAAAGCCCUUGAGAAAGCAGUGUGAAGGUAAGUCAAAGCGUUUGCGACCUCUCUUGCUAUCUUUAUCCUCCUCAUGUUUCUGGGGUUAGAUGUAAUUAGUGGACCAAGAGUUAUAAUCUCCGCAUACUCAAAAACUAAGACAGGAGGUGUGAACUCGAGACAGCAUCCCAACAACUUAAGGAAGUUCUUAUGACCACUCACCAUCGAUGAUAUCGCUAUGUCUCGACAAAUCUCUUUCGUAUCAAGUGUGUAUUUCCCUUUCUUGAUGAGAACAGGACGGUCAUCGAGGAUACCUUUAUAGCAACGGUAAUAGAUGUCAAUCCGGGAAGCACGGUUACUUUGGGAGAAGUUAUCUGUUGCUUUGAUGAUUUGAUCAGAAGAGAAGUUCUUGAUAGGAUUAUAUUUUCCAUCACAGCACUCAAUGAGCUCCUUCAGAAUCACCUCCCCAUUCUCUUUGACGUUUCUCUGCCUUGCCUUGCCUCCAGUUCGGUUUGUUCUCAACCAAUUCAUCUUAUAGACUCUCUACACAGCUAAUUUUGUGGCUCCGUUAAUCCAUUCUCAAACAGCUGAAAAUACAAAGAGAGAAUGGUUCAAGUCAUUUGAUUGGGUUCUAAAAAAUGUUCUAUACGAGUUGAUAAGUUUUAUUGCAACUAGUGGAGCUAAUGAACACCAAAGAUUAAAGAGAAACAUGAACACAAGAAUUGGAAUCUGAACCAGUAUAAUAUCUACGAAGUGGAAAUUCAGAAUCAAAAUCAUACCUCUCACAAGGGAAAGCGCCAUGAACGCUGCAGAAUAAGAGAACGACGCCAUAUAAAAACAGCACAUUAGGCUUAAGUUUAUCACCGAAUGAAGUGGGUCUGGUAGACAAAAUCGUGUUCACACGUGAGUCUGCUAAAGAAAAUAGUUGACUUUCAGGACCACCACAAUGAGUCGAAACGUGUUCACAUUGGAUUAAAAGUUACUAUCUUUCGGUUGCCCACAUAAUAACAAGUAUGGCAUCUUUGUUCUUGACAAAGACAAGUAACAACAAAAACUUAAAACACAUUGACACAUCUCUAGACUCCAAGAGGUUAACAAUCUUCAAGAACAUAUAAACUAAUAAGGACUAAUUACGAGAGCUUCUCAAUCAACUUGAGCUCUUUAGCAACUUCAAUCAUUCCACUCACCGGAUCCUCUUUCUUAUACCUCACACACCUCAACGCCAACCUAAGAAACGCUUCAACCUGCAACCUCCUCACAACCAACUCAUCAUCACCACCCGAAACACUCCACACCUCUUUAUCAACAACCUCCUCAAACCCACCUCUCCCCAUCACCUCAGACACAUGAUCAUUAAGCGACAUAGGCGCCUCCCCAGGCCCAUUAAACACAGCAGCUCUCCCAGACAACAACACCAACAUCACAACCCCAAAGCUGUAAACAUUAACCUUCUCCGUAACUUUCAUCGUCCAGUAAUAAUCCGGAUCAACAAACCCAAUCACACCCUUCACAUCGUCCUCCACAUAAAGCUCCCCUUCAGGUAUCGCCACACAGAACCAGAAAUCACAAAGCUUCGCCGUCCAAUCCUCGUCCACGAAGAUGUUCGUCGGGUUUAUAUUCCGGUGGAUUAUAGUCUCCGGAAACGCCGUGUGGAGAUACGCCACGGAGCUGGCGAUCUCCUUGGCGAUCUUCACCCUCGCUCUCCACGGCAAAGGCGCACCGCCGCUCGAGAGGAGGCCACCGUCUCUGUUGAGAGGACCGUGUGCCGUGAACUCGCAGACGAGGGACGGGAGAUCGAAGUCCAAGCAGCAGCCGAGAAGCUUGAGUGAGUUCUUGUGGUUGCUCAUCUGGGAGGAUACGGAGAUGUCGCGGUAGGCUUCGGUGAAGGUCGAGAGGUUUUGGUUGGACCAUUUCUUGAUGGAGACUGGUCUGUCUUCGAUUAGGCCUUUGUACCAGGUGAAGUAUCCCCAGCUGGAGAUUAUUAGGGAUUCGGAGAAGUUGUUGGUCGCUUUGAGGAUCUGAUCGGAGGAGAAGCACCGGAUCGGGUUGGUUUUGCCGUUGAAGGAAGCGAUUAGCUCUGCUAGUAGAAGCCCUCCGUUCUUCAGAUCGGAUCUGAUCUUUUUCGUCUUCUUCUUCGUGUUCUUGCCCAUUAGAUUGAUAAAGAGUUGAAGCUGAGAAGGCUGAGAUAGAGAAAAUAAAGAUCCGUCCUGAUUUUAAAUCUUCAGAACUCUGAAGAUAUUUUACUUUUGACUUUUUAAUUGUUACUACUUAAAAAUUUGACCGAUAAAGUUUCUACUUUCUAUGCCUCUCUCUCUCUCUCUCUCAAAUGAUCAAAUCCUUUUUAGUUCUUCCAUCAUCUUUGGAACCUCACCUCUAUGACCAGUGCAUCUGAGUGGGAGCAUUAUGACUGCUUACAUCGUCAUCCAUACUGUCCAGCAACUUUGGAACCAUGAUCUCAAAGACUCUUCCUGUCUUGAAUUCUCUUAAAAUAAGACUCUGAGUCUUUAAGCACCUUUAGGCCUUCCUUGUCUUUGGAGGAAAACUGUGAACAUAUUUGCGCCAGAAUGUGUUACUUGUUAAAUGGAAUGGAUGGUGCAAAAGUUCGAGUAGAGUCUGAGAUCUUGAUAGUCCAGGUUUUUUAAAAAGAAAUUAAAUUAAAAAAAGUGGUAUUGGAGAACUUAAGCUCUUCUUACACAACUAUCGCUUCUCAAUUAUCUUCCCGGCGCGAAUGGGACAAUAAACGGUUAACUGGAUAUGUUUAUUAUUCAACAUAUUUUUGAGACCACUCGUUUGGAUAUUAAUCAAUCAAAUACUCUUUUAGUUUUCUCAUUUAAUAACAAUUUUUUUUUGUAAUUUGGUGAUGGAAUUCUGGAGAAGGAAGAAGGAUAAGGAGGAGGCGAGAGAGUGUUUCCUCAAAAAUGGAAGCAAGUAUCUUCAAAAACUCAUAGCUGACUCUAACGGCAAAUCAAACCCUAUCCAAAUGUUUUCUUCCCACCAAAUCUCCAAGGCCACUAAUCACUUCGACCCCAAGUGUUCUCUCCCUGGUAAGUCACGGAGCCUCCACAUGGUACAAGGGCGUCAUCGAAGACAGAUCUUACGUGAUCAAGAGAUUCACAAAUCCAUGGCGUGGAGAAGAGACAGCUUACAACGAUAUUGUCUUGUCUGCUCGGGGAAGUAAUUACAGUGGCUUCCUCAGAGUCAUUGGAUGUUGUCUCCAAUUCCCUCUUCCAGUGGCGGUGUUUGACGACCUAGGCUACAGGUUUUUGAACAAAUGAGGCAGUGUUGGUUGCGAGGAAGCCGGUGACUGGAACUUUAGGAUACGUAGAUCAUAUUUAUCGCUCAACGGGGAUAGUGACAGAGUAUUUAGAUGUGUUUAGUUUUGGAAUCUUUAUGUUGGUUCUUCUUUUGGGAAGACCAGCAUUUUUGGUUGAAUCAGUUGGCAGGUGGGAUCUUGGUAAUAUUCUUGAUAGUGUUAAGGAUAUGCAGGAGAGAAGAGAACCUGUUGAGUUUGGAGGUGAUUUGAACGAGAUGAGGGCUGGUCAGAUGAAAAUGUUUCUCGACCUGGCACUCAGAUGCUGCGAGAAGAGGAAUGAAGAUAGGCCAACGAUGAUCUCGGUGGCAAAAGAGAUUAAGCUAAUAGAAAAAUAUAUCACUUGAUUGUUCUGUGGAUGGUUAGAUUUAAUAUUUAAGAUUAUUUUCAUACUAGGGUUAUGAAUCACACGAUUGAGCUAAGGAUGGUCAGAUUUAAGAUUUGAGAUUAUGCUCAUCUUGGAGUUGUGUAUUGUAUGUUGUGUGUAUUUCUGGCCAUUUAAGGUGCAUGCUUUCCUUUUUUUUGUAACACAUGUGUAUGCUUUUCCAGUAAAACUUUAUUUCGAUUAAGAAAGAAUUUUGAGUGUAAAUAAAUCUAUUUUUCGUUCUGAAACCAGGCAGAACAUGUGAGAUGGUGUUCUUUUUUUUUCAGUAAGCUUUAUAAUGAAACAAAGCGAUGAAUAAGGACAUAGACACAGAAACAAGACGACAAGUCCAGUUGUAGCAGUUUAGUAGACGAAAGUGGUUUCUAGUUCUGAGGCGUUAGAUGUUAGCCAUUUAGCUGCAAACUUCUAAACUUUAAAGUUAAGAUCAAGAAGAAACAGAGAAAGGUUUUCUAUAUUAGCAAUUUCAAUAAAAUAAUAGUUGAAAAUUAAAAUUUUAAUGUGAUUAUUUAAACUACUCUGUAUGAGAUUUUUAAAGUUUUUAAUAUAUAUAUAACUAAAUUUAGCUAAAAUAUAUUUAUAUCUAAAUUUUAUUUGUUUAUGAAAAAAUAUUAAAUUAUUAUUAAAAAAAUAAAAAUAGUUAAAAUUUUGUAUCCCUACUAUCAUUAGACCCAGGGACGGCGCACACUUACAGGCCUACUAUCCAAGCAGACCCUGAGGUCAUUGCACAAUUUUUUCAGUUACAAGAUUGGAGCUAGCAUUCUUCACUUGACUAAUAAUUACUGUGUAGAAAUUUCAGCAAAGAACCUAUUAAACAUAAUGUUAACUCUAUCAGAAGGGAAACCAGAUUCAGAAACAAGUGAUGUCGAUGCUUAAAAAAAACAAGUGAUAUCAAUGCACCAUCCACAAAUCCAAGAUUUUAAAAAACUAAGAAGAAAGUUUAUUCUUGAAAUAUUUUAUCAGUUUUAUUAAUAAACAAGUGAAAUGGAAAUAGGUAGGAAAUGAAAAAGAUCACAGAAAUAGUAUUAUUACAUAAUGAAGACAUAGCUUAGUGCAAGUAGUAGCUGAAUAGGGACACAAGCGAAGCACCAACCAACGAGCCAAGAGCCGGCAAUGCAACCGAGGCGGCGGAUGCGGGUCCUGGUGCCGGAGCUCCAGCUUCCUCAAUAGCCAUGACAGCAGUCAUGGAGGCAGCAACAAAAAGCACACCGCAAGCGAUCUUCUUCAUCUCCAUUGUUGAGACCUGAAAGGCUUUUUCUUCUUUUUACUUAGUUUUUGUGUGUGUGUGUUUAGAAGUUCUUGCAGGUCUGAGGAAAAUGGAUGGCUUUGAUGAGGGAUUUA